rnacentral:rRNA from 1 species
UACAGAGGUCCCAAGCGUUGUUCGGAUUCAUUGGGCGUAAAGGGUGCGUAGGUGGCGCCGUAAGUCGGGUGUGAAAUUUCGGAGCUUAACUCCGAAACUGCAUUCGAUACUGCGGUGCUUGAGGACUGGAGAGGAGACUGGAAUUCAUGGUGUAGCAGUGAAAUGCGUAGAUAUCGGGAGGAACACCAGUGGCGAAGGCGACUUCCUGGCCUGUUCUUGACGCUGAGGCGCGAAAGCUAGGGGAGCAAACGGG